CCCUUAGAUGUUCUGGGCCGCACGCGCGCUACACUGACGAAGUCAGCGAGCAUGUCCUACGCCGACAGGUGCGGGGAAUCUUGUCAAACUUCGUCGUGAUGGGGAUUGAUUAUUGAAAUUCUUGAUCAUCAACGAGGAAUUCCUAGUAAGCGCAAGUCAGCAGCUUGCGUUGAUUACGUCCCUGCCCUUUGUACACACCGCCCGUCGCUACUACCGAUUGAAUGGUUUAGUGAGAUCUUCGGCUUGGCGCCACUGCGGCUCAGCAAUGGGCUCGGUGGAUGCCGAAAAGUUGAUCAAACUUGAUCAUUUAGAGGAAGUAAAAGUCGUAACA
rnacentral:rRNA from 1 species